rnacentral:lncRNA from 1 species
AGGGAGACAUUAUGGGAUGCCCAGGGGGCUUUGGAAAUCAAAUACAAUGUUUGAGUAGCACAAUUUGAGGUGGCAUCCUGUUAUUACAGAAAUAUCUUUCAUAAAUUAUGAUUUUUUUUUUCAACAAAUGGAAGUAAUGCAACACCUAUUUGGUAUACUCAUCAUAUACGUUAAAUCUAACAAUGGCAUAUAAUUGAUAACAUCAGCAGGUCAAUCUACAAAUAUUCUGUAUCAUGGCAUUUCUGAGAAGCAAUUUUUAAUUUAACAACACGGAGAAUCUGGUGUGAGAGAGACCUGACUUACUGAUCUGAGAUGCAGUUUUUCAUUGUCAUGGAAUUCU